CACAUCAUCCUCACUGAGAGGAACUGGAACAUCCUUGUCACGUCUAAAAUCAAUGAUCAAUUCCUGGGUUUUAGAGACAUUUAAAUCCAGAAAACUGUCAUCACA